CCUACGGGAGGCUGCAGUGAGGAAUAUUGGUCAAUGGACGAGAGUCUGAACCAGCCAAGUAGCGUGAAGGAUGACUGCCCUAUGGGUUGUAAACUUCUUUUAUAUGGGAAUAAAAUGUUCCACGUGUGGGAUUUUGUAUGUACCAUAUGAAUAAGGAUCGGCUAACUCCGUGCCAGCAGCCGCGGUAAUACGGAGGAUCCGAGCGUUAUCCGGAUUUAUUGGGUUUAAAGGGAGCGUAGGUGGAUUGUUAAGUCAGUUGUGAAAGUUUGCGGCUCAACCGUAAAAUUGCAGUUGAAACUGGCAGUCUUGAGUACAGUAGAGGUGGGCGGAAUACGUGGUGUAGCGGUGAAAUGCUUAGAUAUCACGAAGAACUCCGAUUGCGAAGGCAGUUCACUGGACUGCAACUGACACUGAGGCUCGAAAGUGUGGGUAUCAAACAGGAUUAGAUACCCUAGUAGUC
rnacentral:rRNA from 1 species